rnacentral:lncRNA from 1 species
GGCUGUUAGCCUGCCAAGAGAGCCAUGGUGAACAACAAGAAAAUCUCCAGAUGUGCAAAAGGUUUCUGUGCUACACAGUCCAUAGGAGGAAAAUAACAAAACGUUCAGAAUAAAGAAGACCUCAUUUCCACAAGCAGUUUACAAAUCUGGAAGAACCGUAUACAGUUUAAAAAGGAGGAGAUGCAUUCCUCAUGCCUCCCUGAGUCCAUUUCUGGGAGCCAUCUGCAGUCAUUUUUACAGUAAUAAAGGGUUGUAUUCAGAAUUGCUGUUCUCCAUUAUCCAGUUCCUGCAGGAGUACAAGAGCACAGGAAACACUUUCUAAAAUUGAAAAAGAAACCCGAAACCAACCCUUUAGGAACUAUCCAGAUGUCAUGCUGCUGGCUCCUUUUAGAGCCAUGAUAUUCAAACUCCCUCCCAUACCCUCAAGAAACAGACACAGGAGAGAAAGCAGAUUUGUCUAGAUGUGUCUGUGCCCAGGGUUAACCAGUGCUUUGAAAAAGAGUGUAGACCUUCAGGGAUGGAUGUGACGCUUCUUCUCUCCACACCUUGCAUACAAGCUCAAAGGUUUGUGUAACAGCUGACACCAGCUCCAACUUCCUGUUUGACUUAGCCUGCAUAUUGUCUGGAGCAAGGAUUAAGAUCCUGAAUCAUCUUUUACCCCCCACUCUCAGACCUGAGAAAAUGUCCUGUUAUGCCAAAGGAAUAGCACUGAAGAACAUUUGAAUCAUUAUGUUUCCCUUUCCCAGUUUUUGCCAACUGUUAAUUACCAAUGAUGUUAAAAAUAACUAAUCAUCGGUAUGCAGGAAGGCAGUGACAUUUAAAAGUGAUGCUGAAGGGCCAUGAACCGAAUGACUUUUGACUGUUACCAUGUAAUAGUUAUGUUCUCAUGUAAUGUGAUUUUUAUAAUGGGAGCUAAAAAACAUUUUCUAUAAAGUAUAACAAUUGCUGCCACUAGAACUAAUGACAAAAUCUACUCAGUUGCCUCUAGGGGGAGGAGGAAAACAAAACCUCUUUCCCUAGAGUCUUUAAUGGAGGUCUGAUUCUGAAAUUUUUACACCAACAUCAAUCACCGUACACAACAUAUUUUCUGGUUUCGUUCUUUCCUGAUUGCAGUUCUGGAUAAGUGAGAUUGGUUUCGUGUUGAACUCAUAAACCAGAAUUUAUACUUUUCUGCCUAGAUAACUCAGAAGUAUUAAGUAUCAAAGUCUACCAGCAGAUUUUCAUGGCUCAAUGUUGCCAUCGCACAAAAUUUCAGCUUAGAAACAUAUUAGUCUUAAACAUAAGUCAUGAGUGCUCUUAAGCUUUCCUGGUAUGAAGAGAAUAAAGCUUUUUUCUCUUCCUUAUGCA